UACAGAGGUCUCAAGCGUUGUUCGGAUUCAUUGGGCGUAAAGGGUGCGUAGGUGGCGAGGUUAGUCAGGUGUGAAAUCUCGGGGCUCAACCCCGAAACUGCACUUGAUACUGCCUUGCUAGAGUACUGGAGAGGAGAUUGGAAUUUACGGUGUAGCAGUGAAAUGCGUAGAUAUCGUAAGGAAGACCAGUGGCGAAGGCGAAUCUCUGGACAGUUCCUGACGCUGAGGCACGAAGGCCAGGGGAGCAAACGGG
rnacentral:rRNA from 1 species